rnacentral:lncRNA from 1 species
UUAAUGAACUUCCAGGUGAUUUCUAAACCACUGACCCAGAACUACCCUCAGGAGGACAGUCAGCAGCAUUACAUUGCCUUCUCCUGGCCUCUGGGCAAGUCCCUCAGUGGCUGGAAAAGAUCAAAACACACAAGCUGCAGGUGAGGAACAUGCUGAUGAUGAUCUACAAAUGCUUCCCAGCUUGAUGAUUGCGAUGUUUCUGCUCUCUACUCUGUAAGAGCUGGUGAUGGCUCUCCUAGAUCACCUAGAAUUAAAUCUACCUUUCGGGUUGACUCUGAAAGGAGUCUCUCCAUUUUCUUGUGUUAGUGAUUGAACAGGUGACAAUUUGGUUAUUAAAGUCUUUACCUUAAACACAGGAUUAAAAAUAUAAAAUGUUGAUGCUCACAUGUAUUUCUCUUUGAAGGUUUCAAAAAACACCUAAAAUGCAGGGUCAAGAGCCAAGAGAGAGGAAAGGUAAAUUCCCCUAAGAAGUCUUCAUUUUACAGCUCUUUUUUGAAAUUUUUGCUUAGGCUCAGAUUUUUAAAUGAGUUAAAAAAAUAAAUGAAGCUAGGAAUGGAAAAUUUGAUCUCUCUCAAAAGAUUUAUUUGAAGUGUGUAUUACUUGUAGUUUUAAAAGCAGUCAAGCUCACAUAAGAUAUUUAGCAGCUUUUAUGAUAACAGAUGCUUUAAGUGGAUUUCUUUUCAAAUACCUAGGAUUCUGAAUUAUGGAUUACUUGAAGUGACAACUGAAAUCUUCCUAAUUAUAAAGUGAAACAAGAUCGGAGCUAUUCUAAUGGAUAAUGAGGUGGAAUGGGGAACUGCAAUAUGAUCUAAAUAUAUUUGUUAAAGAAUUAUUGAAUUAAAUAAGCAGGGCUGGGGCUGUAGCUCAGUAGUAGUGCGCUUGCCUAGCAUGCUUGAGGCACUGGGUUUGAUCCUCAGCACCACAUAAAUAUCAAAUGAAAACAUUGUGUCCACCUAUAACUAAAAAAUAAAAUAUUAAAAAAAAGAAAUAAGCAAAAGCAAAGAAACUUAAAGCUGGAAAAAUGAUUUGGGUGGGGGCUUCGUUUUAAAGACUUUCUUUAGAACAGUGUGUUAUAAUUCUUGGGGGUGGGGAGAGGGAGAGAGGCAGGGAGAGAUGGAGAGAGAAGUAGGGCCCCUUUGAAAAUGUAAUGAAAAACAAUGAACCCUUCCCCAGGAGGGUAAGGUACCAUCACACACACACUGGCAAGUUUCUGGAGUUCCAUAGAUUCUCUGGAGCUCACACAAAGGGCAAUCCUCAGGCCCCACAUUAAGAACCUCAACAUUGCCAGUGCUUUUAAAGAAACAUUGCUCCGUAUUGAUUUCUUCCGUUUGGAACAGCUUGAGAUCCAAGAGCAACUUUCUCAGCAUCUAGGUCCCAAGGCAGUAAAAUCAGGGCUGACUUUUACUUAAACGGAGACAAUUAAAUUAGGUAGACAAUUUCGUGGGGUCAAGCGGAGGUCAAGUGAAAAGCUGGACCACUAGACUGUGCCAGGGAAAGAAGCCUUUUAUUAAAGAUGCCUGAGCUAUUUCAGAAAGGUCGCCUCCAUCUUUCAGAGAGACCCUGACACAGGCGAGUGGCACAGGCAGAUCCCUGAGACCUCUGUGGCUCCGUUCAUAUCAGGAGGCAAAAACUGUCCUAAGUUGGGAAGGAAAAGAGAAUCCAUUCACCUGAAGACUCACAUGAUGCCAGACGUGGAAGAGACUUGCCCGUCACCCCUUCCCCGACAGAUGAGGAAACUGACCCCAGAAGGGUUAAGGUGACCUCCCUAGCCACACUCACGCCCAAGGACCUCCCCACAGCACUUCGCCUCCCUUUUCCCCACACCUCCCGAGGUUCUGCCCGGCGGGGGCGCCACCGGGAGACGAGCCCCCGCCUACCGGCACCAUGGAGUAAGUCAUCAUCAUCAGCAUGUCCUGGCUUUCUGUGCGGAUGUGCUGUGCUGGCUCCCCACGAUGGCUGCGCUUGUUGCGCGCCGCGCUCGCGGGGUCCGGGGGUGGCGCUGGCGCACGGCGCGGCGCGCGGCUCAACUCCGCCAAGAAGGCACGCAGGGCACUGUCCUCGCGUUGCUCCUGGCCGCGCUGCUCCUCCAGCUUCCGCAGCGCAGCGCUCAGGCCGCGCCACUGGCACAGCGCGAACACCGUUCCUGCCGCAUUGAGCACAGAGAGCAAUGCCACCGCUGCCAGGGCGCCACGCAGUCCCCAGCCUGCUGCCCGGUGUCCUUGCUCGGCGCCUGGGGCCAUGUCUGUGAGCCUCGGGCUAGGCAGGGCAGGGUUGGGUCCCCUCCCGCAGGGCAGUCUUUAUACCCUUCGCCUGCCUCCAGCAAACCGUGGGCUGGUGGCAGCGCUGUGAGUCACGCCGCUCUUCCGCGGGGUUGGCGAGGCGGGCUGGGGACUGUAUAGGUGGCGCCGGAGCAGCCCGAAGGGACAGGCGUGCAGCAAGGGGGUGAGAAGCUAGUGGAGACAGCCCGCGGAGGAGGGGCGGGCAAGGCUCGCAUUCCCAGAGCCUGGCCGGCCAAGCAAACCAGCAAACUGGACUCUCCUUUUUUCCCCCCUGUAUAACCAGUGGGCAUUGUCAUGACCCAGACGGGCACAGCGAGGGUCAGACUGAGGGGGAAGGCAGGAAUUCUUAAGGCCUGAGAAGUCUCUAGAUUGCAUCCCAUUCCCCCUACACUGCCUUCUUUGGAUGAAAUGAUCAGCAUGUCCAGAUGCCAAGGCAGAAGUCCACUGUCCCUGGGAGGUUUACUGCUGGACCCAGCACCAGGAUGCCCGUCACCCCUCUCCAAGGACAUGGGGCCUCAUGUAACCACUGAAGAUUCUAAGAUCUUUCCCCUGGAAGGGCAUGGUUGAGGACAAGGAGACAGUUGGUGUUACAGGGUUAAAAAGGCUACUGUCAGAACCAGGAAGCCCAGACCUGCCUGGCAAGCAGGACUUAUCCCAAAGGGUGAUUUCCAAGAUUUGACAAGCCAAGAAUUCUCCCAUGAGACCCAUAUCUGGGAGGCAGAGAGCUAUGAGGAAAAAAUGAAGCGUCAGGAGACCCUUUUCCAUCACCGCUGAGGUGGGGGUGGGGCAGUUGAGAAUAUCCCAAGACUAUACUGAACUUCUUUCUGGCUUAAGGGCUGGAGAGCCUGGUUCAGGUUGGAACCUUACUUAGCCCUGUGGUUGUUCCAUGCUUAUUACCUUUUCAGGACACCUUCACUUUCUUGUUAGCGCAGCCACUUGUUCUGCUUCAAGGGCCACUGUUCCUUAGUCAUUUCUGAGCCUCCUGAAAGGACCUAGUCACUCACCAUGUUUCUCUGCUUCUUCCAGAACAGUAAUGCUUUGCUGGGACCCUGGGGCCUAUAGGAGGCCCUGGUCAUAUGCGAAGACCCAACCAGAAGCUUAGAUUGCUAUUUUCAUAGUAGAUAACCCAAGAAGGAGAUGGCUGCUGCGUCAUCAAGCCACCUGGCAUAGUCAGGGAAAAUGGACUUCUAGCAGGGGGCCAUGGUUGUUUCAGCCAGUGCUGGAGGAAGAACAGCAGGGUAAUGGGUAGGAGGUAAGCAUCUUUUGAUUUAACAGUGGAGCUCUGUAACCAUCUACUCCUCAAAGAUUUGCACACCUACAGGUAGGCUUUGUGGCACAGGAGAAAAAAAAAAACAGAGUGACAUUAGAUUUCUUACCUCCUCUCCAGCAAGUAGAGCCUCCCAGCAAGAAUAAGGAUACUGAAGUUACACCUUAACCAGAACUCUGUGUCAGGGUCUGGAUUCCCGAAUUUGAAUAAGAACAUUAACCAACUUGAGUAUUGUCUAAGAACAGUCUUCUAAAGGGCACACAGGAUGUGGUAGAAUUAGGAAAGUUCCUUGAUAAGGGGACAUGAUGACUGAGCAGGGAAGGCAGCAAUGUAGACAACUUUGUUCAAUUCCACCCAACUCCAACACACUGGAACUUCUUUGAAGAAUUGUUGUGUAUUGUCUUUCUUUUCUGAUCCAUGUCACAAUUAGGGCAGAUGGUAAGGAGCCAUCCGAGAGGCAGAGUUGGGGCUCAGCAUCAGUAAGUUCUUCUUUUAAUUCAGUAAAUAUUUACUGAGUGCUUACUGUGUAUUGGGCACUGUGAUGGGCAUCUGAGAUGUAGGAAUGAAUGAGGCAGGCAGUGUGAGCAGUUGGAACACAGUGGUGCUUCUGGGCUUUUCUUCACCCUAACAUUCAUUAAUGUUACCGUUGCCCAUCUGUCACCAACAUCCACCCUCCACAAUAAAACAUAAUUCUCCUGAGGUUAGGUAAUGUGUCUUGUUUGACCCUGUGGUGCCCAUCAUAUAGCAUAGCAGCUGCCUUGCUCUGUGCUCUUGCUCCUGGACCCUCUUCUCAGACCUUCUUCCCAUCAAGGUGCCACACAUCCACUUUCUUCCUCUGGCCUAUCUUGGUGUCCCCCCUUCCUCACUGAGUCUUGCCUUGCCAUACACUCCCUCUCUUUGGACUCUGCAAGCCCCAGGAGCUCAGUGGUCAGGAGCACAUGAGCUUUGGAAUCAAGUAGAACUGAGCUUGAAGCUGCUUUUUCUCUUCAAAAUAUUUUAUUUUUACUGCACUUUAGGCUUUGCAAUUUUACAGAUAACUCUUGGGAAACUGCUUUUUAAUUAUUAAUUUUGCUCUUAGGCUGUAUGAGCUCGUGGACAGCAACACUGUGCAUUGUGUUGUUGAUCAACAUCUUCAUUUCUCAUUUAGGUUAUAGUGUGCUUAAGUCAGGGACCUACCUUCACUGUGGCCAUCACAGCAGGAAACAGCAGGAACUUGUGCCAAGUAGGAAUAGUUGAUUAAUCAACUGGUUGGUAAUCACACUUUGUUGAUGCUCUUGAGCAACAGAACUUUUGAAUGCAUGGCAAACUCGAGCUCUUGUCUGAGUAGCAUGGCUUUGACAUGAGUUCUGUGGGGCCCUUCAAUUUGUGGAUGCCUAAGCCUCUUGAGACUUCUUAAGAAGCAGACAUGUCUCGUCUCCAUAGUAUGCCUACCUGGUAUUUCUCAGGAUGAGUUGGUACUUUCUACUUAUUAUUAUUAUUUUUGUAAAAGGUAGCUAUCAGUCUGACCUCUUUGUUGAUAUGGAAGAUUCAAGAAAUAGUAGGGGCACAAGGAGAUAUCUGAAUUCCCUUUUCUGGACACCAAAGAAGCCAAAGAACACUGUGUACUCUCUUUACAAUGAGAAGCAUUUUUUUUCAUUAAAAGGAAGAUACUUUAUUUCCAAAGGUUAAAUAGAAUGGUCCCUAAAAAAUGAUUCUAGCUAGUUAACUUUAGGGCUCUAGAGAAUCAAAUCCAAUUCAAGAAUAUACUCCAAUUUUAAUUCCACAGCAUCUCCUCCUGAUUGUGAAGUGAAUAAUUUUCAUUUACUCUAAGGCUUGGCACUUGGGUAUUUUGAUCCGACAUGAGGGUAGCAGUUAUGUUGUGACUCCUGAUGGUGUUCUGCUGUCUGCCCUAGCUUUUGUCCCUGCCAGUGAUUGGGAAGAAAGUCUCUUUAAAAGUUGCCACCAGAUACACCUUUCACCCAGUCUCCUCUCCUUUAACUUCCCAUUACUACAUUCUAAACCUAAGAAAUUUCAAACCAAUGGUAGGGGAUGGUGAUGCCUGCCUAUAAUCCCAGUGACUUGGGAGACUUCAGCAAUUUGGGCCUAACGGCUUAGUGAGAACCUGUCUCAAAAUAAAAAAUUAAAAGGUCUGAGGACAGAGCUCAGUGGUAAAGUGCCCCUGGGUCCAGUCCCCAGUACCACAAAAAACAAAAACAAAACAAAACAAACAAAUAAACAAAAAACAAAACAACCAAACAACAACAACAACAAAAACCAACUUCAAACCACCCAAUCAAAGUUAUCAAUUCUCUUUCUUCUUCUUCUUCCCCCCGCCCCAUUCAUAUCCAUUUAUUCAAUAAGUGGUUCCUGCCUACUGUCUGCCAGGAACUGUGCUGGGAGCUAGGAAUAGAGUGGAGACAGAAACAAGAACUCAUUCCUGCCUUCCUGAAGCCUGUCAUCCAAGUGGGGAGACAGAGAUUAACCUAGUUGUCACAGACGCGUCAUCAGAGGAGGCAGCGGGAUUCUGUAAGAUGCCAUCACUGAGGAGCCUAAGGGCGGGGGGUCAACAGGGGUUUGUCUGAGGUAAUGAAACUUUGAGCCGGAGUCUGAAGCAGGGUAAUUGCUGACAAGGUGAGGGUCAGAACAGGACUGCAGAGUCGCAGAGGGAACGGUAUGGUCAUGGCCCCAGGGCAGGAGGUACUGAUGUUAUUUCAGCUACCCUUAUUAUUACUUGAAGGGUAAGGAGGCUGCAGUACGGACAGCAUCAAGAGGGAGGAGAAGGCAGUGAAGUGAGGCUUGAGCCAGGCCAGGGGCCAGAAUCCAUGGGUGAGACCUGUAGGGUUGGGGUCCUAGUAAAAGCAACGGGAAGCCAAUGAGGAAUUUGAAGUGUAAGGCUACAAAGGGGAGGGCUGUGUGGAUGAAUGACAGAUUUUCACUUUUAAAGAUUACCUUUUAUUACCAGUACUAGUUAGUAGAGAAACUAUGUGCAUCUCUUUCUUCCACCAGGGUCAACCUCAGCCUUUCAACCCAUUUUUUCAAAUGGAGUAAGGCAUUUGAGUUUUAGCAAAUGCCUCUUCCUCUGUUAUCUGCAGAUAGAAAGAUAAUUGAAAGACCUGGAACCAACACUUAGAUUACUUGGAUAAUCAUGAUGCUAUCUGGGGUUUGUGUUAGUCUCCAGUAUGUCAACAUUUUCUCAGGAAUCCACUUAAAAAAAUUAUUUAGUUGUAGAUGAACAUACAGUAUCUUUAUUUAUUUUGAUGUGGCGCUGAGGAUCAAACCCAGUGCCUCACACAUGCGAGGCGAACGCUUUACCACUGAGCUACAGCCCCAGCCCCAGGAAUCCACUUUUGGUGGCUCUAGUUGACAGCAUUAACUCAGGGAACCUUUAGGGUUGAGAACAAAAUUAGGUGAUACUGUUUCAUUUGUGAGACCUUAAUCUAAACUGGGCAAGUAAUGACAGGUUUCUGCCUAUCAUAGUUGCAGUAUCUUUGACUUUUGAGUCACCCAUUCAUCAGCAGAUGCAGAACUGUCUUUUGAUUGCUGUAGUGGGAUCAUUUCAAUCCCCCCAAUUCCAUUCUUUAUUUCUUCACAACAAACAUACCCUCCCUAUCCCAUCCUGCCCUUCUGGAGCAUUGUAGCCAAUUGUACAGAUUGGCUUCUCUGGAAGUAGAUGUUGAGAUGGAAUUUGAUAUGCAAGAUAUUUCUUAGGGACAGCACCUGUGAAGGCAGGGGUGGGGGGCAGGGACAGGGUUGGGCAGAGAAGUCCAACUGAAGACAGCCCUGCAAAGCCUUGGCCAAGCCACUUGUGAGCUCUGGAUGGUGUAUGACCCAUCAGAGAUGACUGGACUUUACCCCUGUCUCCUUGGUCAUAGGAUAGAUGAGGGCAACCUCAGAUGGUGUGGCUUUGCGUUAGGUAACUCUGCAGCUGAGACGUGUCCUAACCUCAACCCUGCAGCGGGGCAGCAAGUGACUAUUUCAAGGGGAAUCUGGGACACAGGUCAACCACCUGAUUAGUGUUGGAUACGGGUCUGCCAAUUCCAACAUUACUAAACUUAAAUCAAUACUGUGUCAGGCUGUGGAGAGACGCCUUUCACUUUUUAUCUGGAGUAUGGCCUUUCAGUGAAUAAAAAAGGGAUUGUCUUUAGAAACCAUUAAAAUAUGAAGAGAAGCUCCAGGAGUGGAUUCUGUGAGAUCAUGAGAAUCACUCAUGAAUUUGAAACUGCCUUGUCCACCGAAGUAAGUUAAUACUGCAAAGCCCCAUUGAUGAAACUUGAACCACUGUUUUUUUUUUUUUGAAAGGAUCAAACAAAGCCUUGCAUGUAUAGUGCACCUCAGUUUUCAAAGUACUGUCUUAUGUCACUAGAGUUCCAUAAUAAGACUGUGAAGUGGGCAGGGCAGGCCUUCUUUAUUUUCUUUUCUGAAAAUGUGGUGCAGGGGAUGAAACCCAGCCCUCACACCUACCAAGUGCACACUUUACCACUAAGCUACCUUCCCAGCCCCAAGGGCAGGUCCUAGAACCUGCCCUUUCAUAGAUGAGGAAACCAAAUCUCAGGAAAGUUAGGUGACUUCCCAAGUUCAAGGUACAGAAAGCUCAUCAACACUCACCCAUACCCCUGCUUAGGAAGUAGGAAGCUUUUUGGCCCAAAGUUUGGACUAGUUAGAAAUGAGCAAGACAAUGGACAGGAGGCGGGAGAAUGGGGGCAGGGAAAGGAUCCAAGGAAUUUCUGCUGUUAGGGUUCAUUCUAAGCCUCUGAAAUAAGGGAUCUCUAUAAGUUGCUGAGGCUGGCCUCAAACUUUUGAUCCUUCUGCCUUAGCCUCCAGAGGAGCCAGGAGGUACUUCACCAUGGCUAACCAGUUGGAUUCUUAUCUUUAUAUAAUAAAUUAAUCCUAUGAGUUUGACUGAGUGACAAAAAGAAUGAGGCAGCUGAUAGGACUGAAAAACAGAAUUAAUCUCUCUAGCAAGAGAAAAAAAGAACAGAAAUUUAAGCUACAUAAUUAACAAAAAGGACAUGGGGGUGGUGGCAACAAAUGAAUAAUAAACAUUAAUAAAAUAGACAAAAAGUAUGCUGUUUGCUAUAUUAAAUUCGAAUAAAUAGAAUAAUCCCUUAAAAGAGACACUAUAUCAGAUUGGUUAAAAAAUUAAAAAAAAACAGUUAUAUGCUAUAUAUAAAAGAGAAACACAUCUAAAUAAGACAGAUAAAGAAAAGUCGAAAAUAAAAAAGAGGAGCAGAAAUAGAUACUAGGUAAAUGCAAGUGACAAAACAGGAAGCAUUACUCUAUUAAUACCCAACAAAUAAUGAAACCUAAAGUUUAAAGGACUAAGAGAGUUGCUAUGUAAAGAAAAGAAAAUAAUUUACAAAGAAGUCAAUUUACCAGUAUGUGCUAAAAAUCAAAUGUGAGAAAAACAGUAAAAUUCUCCCUAAAGCUUCCAAAGAAGCCACAUGUAGUCAGAGAGACACUGACCCAUCCCGAGAAGAGGCAAAACUGGUGGAGGAGAAGACUAAAGGAGACAAGAGGCUUCUCACACGUUCCACAAAGUGGCCCCUAAGGAAUCUCUGCUGACCUUAACAGUGGAAGGGAGUGAGGUUAAUUUGGGGCCAAAGUAGGGGUCACCCGGCAGGGCAGCAUAGCCAAAGACUAAUCUACAAAUAUGAGGAUGGAAGAGAAAUGAAAGCCCAGGUGCUGCCCCAGGUGACGUGAACUGGUUUCCCCAGGGUCUACCCAGCAGCAGCUCCUGCCUGUACUCCUAACACAUGCGCUUGAGCAAAUUCCACCUUCUAAACAGAUCACACUCCUGGCACACCUUACUAAGUGUCCUGGUCCCCCACCCACUGCCGGACUGCUGUGUACCCUGUGUGAAGUACCUACCUCCAGCAGAGCCUGUACACAGCAAGGCACUAACCACGCACAGCCACUGUAUGCAGCAUCCCCCCACAUCAUCCGCCACACCAUGGGAUGCAGCUCAGAGGCAUUGGAAUCACCAUGCACAUGGUUGCUGGGAACACUGUGACCAUGUUAGUAGGUACCUGCUGAUUGCCCAAUGCCCAACUCCUGUUGCCCCUCAUCUGGUCACUGUGCCCACGAACUGGGUCCCAAGAACAUCCACCUACAGCUAUGUUCCCCCUCCAUGGUGAUCACCCUGCAAAUAACUGCUUGUGGAUGGAGCUGUACAGUCACCACUGAGGUUCCACAGCUAGUCUGAAGCCUUGGAGCCUUGCGCCUCCAACCAGGACUUUCUUCAUAUUGCUCCUGACACUUAGCUAAACUGGUCCAGCAGCUCACUGCACCGUUAGUCUUCAACUAACUCUGCGAGUUGGUCUUAAAGCAAAUCCUGUUUUGUGAACAGUUUGGCAAUUUUGUUUUUAGCUAAUUGUAAUGAUAAAAAGGAAGUAGUAAUCUAUUCUGAAUCAUAUUUAGUUGAAUGCAUGUUUGAAAGAAAAACAAAGCUUGCUGAAUCUUCCUGCAGUGACUGAUGGAAAACAAUCACUGGCGAAACCCAAAGGAACUGUAUCACUGAUGCACUGCUGUAUGCAAAGUCUUAAAGUUAAAAAAAGGAAACAAACAAAAAAACCGGCCAUUCAUAGAUAUUUAAAAGUAAAACAUGACUUGAGAUGUGUACUUGUGUCAGCCCUACCAAGAGUAAGUGAAGCCAAGAAGCUACAGAAAAAGGGGCGUUAUUCAUGAGUGUCUGAUGAUAACUAUCAAAAAAGACUUGGCUUGGCCCACACCUGUGAUCCCAGUGGUUCUGGAGGCUGAGGCAGGAGGAUCAAAAGUUCAAAGCCAACUUCAGCCAAAGCUAGGUGCUAAGCAACUCAGUAAGACUCUGUGUCUAAACAAAACACAAAAUAGUGCUGGGGAUGUGGCUCAGUGGUCCAGUCGCCCCUUAGUUCACUCCCUGGUAAACUCUCCCCCACUCCCCCACAAAAGAGACUUGGCCAAAAUUCUAAGUUUUUCCUGAGUUGUCCUGACUUAAGUCUGAUCUAACAGACAUGCUUUUGAAAGAAAAAAAUCCAGAACUUGAGAUGUAAAUAAAACUAUUUAAGCUAACUUGUCUGUUACUACUAUUAAGACCUUUGGCUAAGCCUCCCAAGAUAAAGCUAAUGGGCCCAGAAUUAACCUAGCCAGUGCCACUGCAGGGCUACCUCACAUCAUUACUCUGUUGAAAUAGACAGCCUUCUUCCUUAGUCUCUAAUAAAUCAGAACUCUGCCUGGCCACCCUCAAUAGGCCCAAUGAUGCUUAGGCAUGUCAGCUAAUGCACUCAUCUGUACUAUCACCUCUAAGGGAGUCCCCCAGAGCAGCCUGAGUGGAGAGGGAAGAAAUGCUCAGAAGAUGAAACUCGGGACUAUCUGAGCUCUCAUCCCCAAGAAGGUAGUUAUUACAAAGAAGAUAAAACAGACUGUUAUGCUCACAUAAAAUUAAUUCCACAGUUGUUCUUUACCAAUGAAUGCAUUUUGAAGUCUAAAAAUAACCAUUGUAAAUGAAAACAGUUGGCUUAUUAAAAAAAAAAAAAGACCUUUGGCUACUAUACUUCUUAAUCUCCUUCUGAAAUUUGUAUCUUCCAGAUUGCAACCAGUUCAUGAUUAAGAUGAUGGCAAUGCGAGGACUCCAACCCAACCCAACAAGUGGGACCAGUCUUUUCUCUGUCUGCAUUAGACCAGGCAGGAGAGACUUUAGAUCCCUGGCUAAGCAGCAUCACCACUCCUUACCAGCUUGAAGCAGCCAUAGAAGAUGGAUCUUUGCCCUUCAUUGAGCCUUAAAAAUAAGGGAUCACAAGUCUUGGGGGGUUGGGAGAGAGGUGAGACAUGAAUUUGGAGAUACAGAAAUGGAAAGAUAAGACAGUCUCAAAAAAGGAGUGCCAGGAGCCCUGGAAAGCAGGAAGUACCCAUGAACCUUUAAAAUACAAGCAUUGAUGAGCAACCCAGUCCAUGUCCUUAGACUGUACCCUUGACCCAUGCCCUUGGCCCAUGCCCUUGCCUGGAAAUGUAUCAUGAGGGAAAGGCACAAGCACUGGGAAUACUGGUGCGAAGUUGUGUACCUCUGCCUUGGCUGCACCUCUAGUCCAGCCCCUAGCAUUUGUCCCUCUAUAAAUAUCAAUGCCCCACACCAAGGGGUCACCAACUUUCCCUUUGGAGAUGGCCUGCAUUCUCUCUUGAAUGUGUACUUCUUACUUUACCGCCCCCCAAUGUCUCUUCCCUGAGAGAGCCUACAUUCUCCCGGAAUGUGUCUCUGUUUUCCUAAAUAAACCUUUGUCUAUG